AUUGAACGCUGGCGGCAUGCUUUACACAUGCAAGUCGAACGGCAGCGCGGGGCAACCUGGCGGCGAGUGGCGAACGGGUGAGUAAUACAUCGGAACGUACCCAGAAGUGGGGGAUAACGUAGCGAAAGUUACGCUAAUACCGCAUACGUUCUACGGAAGAAAGUGGGGGAACGCAAGACCUCAUGCUUUUGGAGCGGCCGAUGUCUGAUUAGCUUGUUGGUGGGGUAAAGGCUCACCAAGGCGACGAUCAGUAGCUGGUCUGAGAGGACGACCAGCCACACUGGGACUGAGACACGGCCCAGACUCCUACGGGAGGCAGCAGUGGGGGAUGUUGGACAAUGGGCGCAAGCCUGAUCCAGCAAUGCCGCGUGAGUGAAGAAGGCCUUCGGGUUGUAAAGCUCUUUUGUCAGGGAAGAAACGGCUGAGGUUAAUACCUUUGGCUAAUGACGGGACCUGAAGAAUAAGCACCGGCUAACUACGUGCCAGCCGCCGCGGUAA
rnacentral:rRNA from 1 species